UAGCCUAGUAGUUAAGGCUAUGGAUCGCCAAUCCGCAGACGGCGGGUUCGAUUCCCGU
rnacentral:tRNA from 1 species